rnacentral:lncRNA from 1 species
AAAAAAAACAAUUCCCAUUCAAGGAGCAGGUGCGGAAGUGUUGUUCAUCUCUCUCUUUCUCCCCGCCCCACCUCUUUUCCUUAUGAAUCCUCCUCCUAACCACCGCCAUUGGCUUGUCUGCUCAUCUGAUAUAUGUCUCAAAUAUUUGCUACUUACAUAUUGUGUUGGCAUUUGAGUUUUCAUAGGAAAAGCAUGAUUUUGUAUUUUAUUUUUUAUUUUUUAUUUUUUAUUUUUUAUUUUUUAGCUUAUUGAGUCAUACGUACAAGUUAUAGUGUGAAUGUCAAAACUCUUUAAUCAUGGAAAAAGAAACUUUUGUAAUAGAUAAUGAUGAUGAUGCAUAGUCUGUUUACUUUCUUGCGUUGUCUUUUAUCAAUGAAAGAAUUUUCAUGUCCCCUUCUGGUUGAACAAUCUCCAUGGUUUGUUUUUAAUUUACUACAUGAAAUUAUUAUGCCUUUUUUGUUGUGUUUUUCUCCUUUUUGUGGGAGAGGUUGUGAUUAUGAUCUCGGACAUGGUUACUACGAG